UUCUGCGAAAUUGUUUUGGCAAUUGUUUAUUCCUCUUAAAAAUAGUAGGUAUAGCACUGAAUAUCUCGAGGGAGUAUGAAAAUAUUUAUCUCAGAUAUUUAAUCUCAAAAUAACUAUUUCUUAAAAUAAAUAAUCAGACUAUGUGCGAUAAGGUAGAUAGUCGAAAGGGAAACAGCCCAGAACAGUAAUUAAAGCUCCCCAAUAAAUAUUAAGUGAA
rnacentral:rRNA from 1 species